rnacentral:rRNA from 1 species
AUUGAACGCUAGCGGGAUGCUUUACACAUGCUAGUCGAACUAGUGGCGGACGGGUGAGUAAUAUAUCGGAACGUGCCCAGUAGCGGGGGUUAACUCCUCGAAAGAGUGGCUAAUACCGCAUACUAUUGGCGCGGGCGAUAGCGGAGUGGCUAGUUGGUGGGGUAAAGUCUCACCAAGGCAACGAUCCGUAGCUGGUUUGAGAGGAUGACAAGCAAGAGUGGGAAUGAGACACGGAGCAGACUGCGACGGGAGGCAGCAGGGGGGAAUGGUGGAAAAGGGGGGAAAUCCGGAGGCAGCCAUCCCGCGUGUAUGAGAAGGCCUGGGGGGAGAAAAGUACUUUUGGCAGAGAAGAGGUAUCUGCAGAAUAAGCACCGGCUAAGUACGUGCCAGGAGCCGCGGUAAUUC